rnacentral:rRNA from 1 species
UACGAGGGGGGCGAGCGUUGUUCGGAAUUAUUGGGCGUAAAGGGUGCGUAGGCGGUUCGGUAAGUUUCGUGUGAAAUCUUCGGGCUCAACUCGAAGCCUGCACGAGAUACUGCCGGGCUUGAGUGUGGGAGAGGUGAGUGGAAUUUCCGGUGUAGCGGUGAAAUGCGUAGAUAUCAGGAAGAACACCAAUGGCGAAAGCAGCUUUCUGGGACGGUACUGACGCUGAAACGCGAAAGCGUGGGGAGCGAACAGG